rnacentral:rRNA from 1 species
AAAGAAUGGUUGGACGAGAUAUAAGCUGUUUCAUUUAAAAUUUAUAUAGAAUUUUAUUUUUUAGUUAAAAAGCUAAAAUAUGAUCAAAAGACGAGAAGACCCUAUAAAUCUUAAUUAUUUAAUAAUUUUUAAUUUAUUUUGGUUUUUUUUGUUAUAAAUUUAUUAAAUAAUUUUAUUGGGGUGAUAUUAAAAUUUAAAUAACUUUUAAUAAUUUUUGUCAUUUAUUUAUGAUUAAGUGAUCCAUUAUUAGUGAUUAAAAAAUUAAGUUACUUUAGGGAUAACAGCGUAAUUUUUUUGGAGAGUUCUUAUCGAUAAAAAAGUUUGCGACCUCGAUGUUGGAUUAAGAUUCAUAUUUAAAUGUAGAAGUUUAAAUAUUAAGUCUGUUCGACUUUUUAUUCUUACAUGAUCUGAGUUCAAACCGGUGUAAGCCAGGUUGGUUUCUAUCUUUGAUUUAAUAAAAUAUUUUAGUACGAAAGGAAUUAAUAUUUAUUUUUAAGAAAUUAUUUUAUGAAUGA